rnacentral:rRNA from 1 species
GAUCCUGGCUCAGAAUCAACGCUGGCGGCGUGCCUAACACAUGCAAGUCGAACGCGGUUACCCCGCAAGGGGUAGCUGAGUGGCGAACGGGUGAGUAACACGUGGGUGACCUACCUUCGAGUGGGGGAUAACGUCCCGAAAGGGACGCUAAUACCGCAUAACAUCCUGUCCUUGAACGGAUGGAGAUCAAAGCCGGGGAUCGCAAGACCUGGCGUUUGAAGAGGGGCCCGCGUCUGAUUAGCUAGUUGGUGGGGUAACGGCUCACCAAGGCGACGAUCAGUAUCCGGCCUGAGAGGGCGGACGGACACACUGGGACUGAGACACGGCCCAGACUCCUACGGGAGGCAGCAGUGGGGAAUUGUUCGCAAUGGGCGCAAGCCUGACGACGCAACGCCGCGUGGAGGAUGAAGGUCUUCGGAUUGUAAACUCCUGUUGCUCGGGACGAAAAGCUUCAACCUAAUACGUUGAAGUCUGACGGUACCGAGUGAGGAAGCCCCGGCUAACUCUGUGCCGGCAGCCGCGGUAAUACAGAGGGGGCAAGCGUUGUUCGGAAUUACUGGGCGUAAAGGGCGCGUAGGUGGCCUGUUAAGUCGAACGUGAAAUCCCUGGGCUCAACCCAGGAACUGCGUCCGAGACUGAUAGGCUCGAAUCCGGGAGAGGGAUGUGGAAUUCCAGGUGUAGCGGUGAAAUGCGUAGAUAUCUGGAGGAACACCGGUGGCGAAGGCGACAUCCUGGACCGGUAUGACGCUGAGGCGCGAAAGCCAGGGGAGCAAACG